rnacentral:rRNA from 1 species
UACGGAGGGUCCAAGCGUUAUCCGGAAUCAUUAAAUUUAAAGGGUCCGUAAGCGGGUCUGUAAGUCAGUGGUGAAAUCUCCCGACUCAACCGGGAAAUGGCCAUUGAUACUGCAGGUCUUGAAUUAUUGGGAAGUAACUAGAAUAUGUAGUGUAGCGGUGAAAUGCUUAGAGAUUACAUGGAAUACCAAUUGCGAAGGCAGGUUACUAUCAAUAUAUUGACGCUGAUGGACGAAAGCGUGGGUAGCGAACAGG